rnacentral:tRNA from 2 species
GGAGAGGUGGGUGAGAGGCUUAAACCACAAGUUUGCUAAAUUUGCGAUGGAGUAAUCCAUCCGAGGGUUCGAAUCCCUCCCUCUCCGCCA